GGAGAGGUGUCCGAGUGGUUGAAGGAGCACGCCUGGAGAGCGUGUGUGGGGGAAACUCCACCCCGGGUUCGAAUCCCGGCCUCUCCGCCA
rnacentral:tRNA from 2 species